CGUCAGAUAGUAAUAUUACAUGAAUAUGGGAUCUAAUCAUUGAAACCAGGUGUACUUACCAUUUUUUGGCAUAGAUACAGAUGUUAUUAAUGGAAAUUUCAAAAUCGAUAUAAAAUGAUUGAACGGGGGAUGAUUUGAUAAAGGAAAGCAAAAAAAAUUAACAUCAAUAGGAUGAAAAUAUGGUGUAAAUAAGAGGUAAAGAAAAGAAAAAGAAAAAAAAUAGAAAGGGGAAUACAAAAGUUCUAUUAGGAAUUGAAAAGAGCAAAGUGACAAUCUAAUUAGGGAUGUAAACUAAUUUUAUACCUAGGGUUAGUAAACCAUAGGGGCGACACAACAAUUUACCCAAUCUUGCU
rnacentral:lncRNA from 1 species